AGUGAGGCGGAGCUACCAUGCAGUCGAGCGGUAACAGAUCCAGCUUGCUGGAUGCUGACGAGCGGCGGACGGGUGAGUAAUGCAUAGGAAUCUGCCCGAUAGUGGGGGAUAACCUGGGGAAACCCAGGCUAAUACCGCAUACGUCCUACGGGAGAAAGGGGGCUUCGGCUCCCGCUAUCGGAUGAGCCUAUGUCGGAUUAGCUAGUUGGUGAGGUAACGGCUCACCAAGGCCACGAUCCGUAGCUGGUCUGAGAGGAUGAUCAGCCACAUCGGGACUGAGACACGGCCCGAACUCCUACGGGAGGCAGCAGUGGGGAAUAUUGGACAAUGGGGGGAACCCUGAUCCAGCCAUGCCGCGUGUGUGAAGAAGGCCCUCGGGUUGUAAAGCACUUUCAGCGAGGAAGAACGCCUAGCGGUUAAUACCCGCUAGGAAAGACAUCACUCGCAGAAGAAGCACCGGCUAACUCCGUGCCAGCAGCCGCGGUAAUACGGAGGGUGCAAGCGUUAAUCGGAAUUACUGGGCGUAAAGCGCGCGUAGGUGGCUUGAUAAGCCGGUUGUGAAAGCCCCGGGCUCAACCUGGGAACGGCAUCCGGAACUGUCAAGCUAGAGUGCAGGAGAGGAAGGUAGAAUUCCCGGUGUAGCGGUGAAAUGCGUAGAGAUCGGGAGGAAUACCAGUGGCGAAGGCGGCCUUCUGGACUGACACUGACACUGAGGUGCGAAAGCGUGGGUAGCAAACAGGAUUAGAUACCUGGGGUAGUC
rnacentral:rRNA from 1 species